GCAGAGGAGGCGCUGGUCAGUCCUUGAAAGGCCCAGGUACCCAAGACCUGUCAGACGCGCGAGGCAGGGAGCUGAGCUGGGAUCUAAGGACGCCAUCGCGGCUGGGGCCUCGCUCAGGUGACUGAGCGGCCCGACACGGCUCUGCUCCUGGCUGGAUGCAUCACCCCAGGCACCUCUCACGCCUAAGAAUCACAGCCAAGUCAAGGCGUCCGUUCAUCUGAAAUGCAGCUCUGACAAAAGUCAAAGAAAAGAGGAGCUCUUCCAGGACUAGAGGAAGACGUUGCAGCAGAGGCAAGGUGCAAGGGAGUCAGAAACUCUGCAAACCAAUGCAAAUAGAUGACUGAGAACUGGUCCUGGCCAUUGAAGAGCUCGUGUUCCAGUCUGCUGAGAAGGGUCCGGUGUUGUAAGGGAAAUUAAGGCGGAUACACACGCGGUACCAGUGUCGCUGCUCACAUGACGCCAAACCAGAAUAGAAGACUGAAAAGGUUCUGUCCUUGGCCCUUUUCACUUUAUAUAAUCUUUUUGGGUGACUCAUCUAUUCUUUCAUGGUUGUGACUAUCAUUGAUGACUCUCAAAUCUAUUAUCUCUAAUCCCUGUUUUUCCACUUCAUUCCAGACCAUAUUUUUAAUUGUCAUCAAGACAUCUCACAUUCCAUGUAUUAAGAACCAAACUCAUUUUCCGGCCUCUCCAACCUGGUUUCCAAUCUGUAGCCUCUCUCUUGGUUGACAGAACAGUUGGCUCCCCGGUUAACUAUAAAUCAUGGUGUCCUUUUGACUCAUCCCUGUCUCUCAAUAUCCACCACUUCCCUCUCAGAAAUGUUUCCAUGCUGUCUGUUCUCAGUUCAUUACUCUGGUUCAGAAUCUCAUGGCCUUUCACCCAUGCUGCUGCAGUGCCCCGUAACCGACCCCUCUGUUCUAGUACUCCUCUCUAAUGUACUGUCUACCCUGCUACUACUAUUCUGAUCCUCAAAUCUAAUUUCAUUCCUCUGUGAUGGCUUCUUCCCUGGCUCCUCAAAGGCUUCAGAUGGAACACAAAGUUCUUAGUCUGACAUAUAAGACACUUCAUAAUCUUGCUCCAUUAACUUUUCCAACUUUACCUUUGUGAGUGUAAUGAAAAAAACAAAUUCUCCUUAACUUUGCCUCUGAUUUAUCCCUUUAACUAUCUCCCUUACUAAUUGGUCAUCUGAAAUUCUACAGUUUUCUAUUCCUCACGCUGUGAUUAUCCUCUAAGAAGAGCUCGUUUCAGUUCCUACAAGCCUCUAUCAAGUUUAUUCUUAUUCUUGUGGAAUCAGUUCUUUUAAAACUGACCUACCACAAAAGACCACAGUGCAUUCCCUCUGGCUUCCUUUUGAGUGAAUGCUAUCCUGUAUGUUCUUGUAACCAGCUUGUAACCCUUUUAUCUCUGUCAUGAGGACUGAAUUACCAGGAAGUCAUUUUCUCCCUUUAUCAGAGUAGUCACAUCACUCAUAUUCAUCUACUUUUUAAACCAAUAAUUUUAAAUUUGAAAUAAAGCUCAAAAAUAAGUGAGUUGAACACCUUUUACUAUAAAUACCUGAUACAGUAACUCAAAAGAAAUUUUCCACCUUCUUAAGGACAUAGAAAUUAAUACUCCUAAGAACACUGCAUCUUCAGAUGCCUCUCCGAUUGUUAACAGUUCUUUCUUUAUCCUGAGACAGACUCCUUCCCUUUGUAACUUCCACUCCUGGCUCUAGUUUUACUUAGCUACAAUGGGUAAGUUUCCAAUCUUCCUACACAAUUUCACUUCAGAUAUCUGGAGAGGCUUCGCAUGCUCCCUUUCCCAAGUCCUCUUUCAUAAGACCGAAUCCUCCCAGUUCCUCUAACUAUUCCUCAUAAUAAGUUCAGUGACUAUAAGUGGCUCAUGACGGUUGUAGUCAGCAAACUGUGGACCAUUAUCUUCCUACCGAGGUCUUUAUCUCCUAGAGGUUGACUUCAGAAACAGGUUGCUCUCUUGGUCUCACAUAAAAAGAAUACCUCAUGAACAGGCCUGCAGGAUAUAACCACUAAAUAAUUAGAAUUUUAAAAACUGUGACAAUAUUUUGAAAAAUUCCAUAAUGGGGUGUCAAGACCAAGAAGAUGCAGAAUGUUGCAUUUGGAAAGUAAAUACCACAUUCAGGAAAUUCUCCUAGAUUUCAAACUAACACCUUUAAUUAACUAACACAACCAGUGUUGCCCUAAAAUGUUUACAUGGCAAAUUUACCGUGCUUUGAACAUUUCUAAUUAAUGCGGGAUACAGGCUUCCACAGUGGCUCAGUGGAAAAGAAAUCUGCCUGCAAUGCAGGAGAUGCAAUAGGAGUCACGGGUUUGAUCCCUGGGUCGGGAAGAUCCCCUGGAGAAAGAAAGGGCAACAGACUGCAGUAUUCUUCUCUGGGAAAUUUCAUGGGCAGAGGAGCCUGGUAGGCUACGGUCCCUGGGGUUGCAAAAGAGUCAGACACAAUUUAGCAACUAAACAACAACAAUAGCAGAAUUAUGUGUUUCUCCUCCCUAAGAACUCCACUGUGUAUCUGUUUAUGUCACAAAUGUGCUGCUUCUAUCUGAUUUGCAGCAUCCACAUUUGGCCUUUCUGAUCCCUUUUUAGGAUAACACUAAUUUUUCUUAUCUUUUCUCCCAUCAUUGCUGACCCUUUUCAUCUGAGCCUUCCUUUCACCCCCCUGUUGGUCCUGAGGAUAGCAUCUUUGCCCAAGUUACUAUGUUUCAAUCUAGAAGAAUGCCCUUCAUAUGCUUCAGCAC